AUAUUGUCUUCUUUUCUCUUUCAUUGAAUUUAUUUAAGGAGUGAAAAUACUCCUAUAUCAAACAAAAGACGAGAAGACCCUUAGAGUUUUUAAAGAAAGUAGGUGUUAUUUAUAAUUUUUUUGUUGGGGCAACAGGAUUACAAAAUGAAAUUAUUUUACUAAAAUAAUUUUUAAGUCGAGAAUUUUCUAGGUAAGAAUAAACUACCUUAGGGAUAACAGCAUAAUUUUAAAUAUAAGUUUGUGACCUCGAUGUUGGACUAG
rnacentral:rRNA from 1 species